rnacentral:rRNA from 1 species
GACGAACGCUGGCGGCGUGCUUAACACAUGCAAGUCGAACGGAAAGGCCCUGCUUUUGUGGGGUGCUCGAGUGGCGAACGGGUGAGUAACACGUGAGUAACCUGCCCUUGACUUUGGGAUAACUUCAGGAAACUGGGGCUAAUACCGGAUAGGAGCUCCUGCUGCAUGGUGGGGGUUGGAAAGUUUCGGCGGUUGGGGAUGGACUCGCGGCUUAUCAGCUUGUUGGUGGGGUAGUGGCUUACCAAGGCUUUGACGGGUAGCCGGCCUGAGAGGGUGACCGGCCACAUGGGGACUGAGAUACGGCCCAGACUCCUACGGGAGGCAGCAGUGGGGAAUAUUGCACAAUGGGCGGAAGCCUGAUGCAGCAACGCCGCGUGCGGGAGGACGGCCUUCGGGUUGUAAACCGCUUUCGCCUGUGACGAAGCGUGAGUGAUGGUAAUGGGUAAAGAAGCACCGGCUAACUACGU